GAUGAACGCUGGCGGCGUGCCUAAUACAUGCAAGUCGAGCGAACGGACGAGAAGCUUGCUUCUCUGAUGUUAGCGGCGGACGGGUGAGUAACACGUGGAUAACCUACCUAUAAGACUGGGAUAACUUCGGGAAACCGGAGCUAAUACCGGAUAAUAUUUUGAACCGCAUGGUUCAAAAGUGAAAGACGGUCUUGCUGUCACUUAUAGAUGGAUCCGCGCUGCAUUAGCUAGUUGGUAAGGUAACGGCUUACCAAGGCAACGAUGCAUAGCCGACCUGAGAGGGUGAUCGGCCACACUGGAACUGAGACACGGUCCAGACUCCUACGGGAGGCAGCAGUAGGGAAUCUUCCGCAAUGGGCGAAAGCCUGACGGAGCAACGCCGCGUGAGUGAUGAAGGUCUUCGGAUCGUAAAACUCUGUUAUUAGGGAAGAACAUAUGUGUAAGUAACUGUGCACAUCUUGACGGUACCUAAUCAGAAAGCCACGGCUAACUACGUGCCAGCAGCCGCGGUAAUACGUAGGUGGCAAGCGUUAUCCGGAAUUAUUGGGCGUAAAGCGCGCGUAGGCGGUUUUUUAAGUCUGAUGUGAAAGCCCACGGCUCAACCGUGGAGGGUCAUUGGAAACUGGAAAACUUGAGUGCAGAAGAGGAAAGUGGAAUUCCAUGUGUAGCGGUGAAAUGCGCAGAGAUAUGGAGGAACACCAGUGGCGAAGGCGACUUUCUGGUCUGUAACUGACGCUGAUGUGCGAAAGCGUGGGGAUCGAACAGGAUUAGAUACCCUGGUAGUCCACGCCGUAAACGAUGAGUGCUAAGUGUUAGGGGGUUUCCGCCCCUUAGUGCUGCAGCUAACGCAUUAAGCACUCCGCCUGGGGAGUACGACCGCAAGGUUGAAACUCAAAGGAAUUGACGGGGACCCGCACAAGCGGUGGAGCAUGUGGUUUAAUUCGAAGCAACGCGAAGAACCUUACCAAAUCUUGACAUCCUUUGACAACUCUAGAGAUAGAGCCUUCCCCUUCGGGGGACAAAGUGACAGGUGGUGCAUGGUUGUCGUCAGCUCGUGUCGUGAGAUGUUGGGUUAAGUCCCGCAACGAGCGCAACCCUUAAGCUUAGUUGCCAUCAUUAAGUUGGGCACUCUAAGUUGACUGCCGGUGACAAACCGGAGGAAGGUGGGGAUGACGUCAAAUCAUCAUGCCCCUUAUGAUUUGGGCUACACACGUGCUACAAUGGACAAUACAAAGGGCAGCGAAACCGCGAGGUCAAGCAAAUCCCAUAAAGUUGUUCUCAGUUCGGAUUGUAGUCUGCAACUCGACUACAUGAAGCUGGAACCGCUAGUAAUCGUAGAUCAGCAUGCUACGGUGAAUACGUUCCCGGGUCU
rnacentral:rRNA from 1 species